UACGUAGGGAGCAAGCGUUGUCCGGAAUCAUUGGGCGUAAAGCGCGCGUAGGCGGCCCCGUAAGUCCGCUGUGAAAGUCAAAGGCUCAACCUUUGAAAGCCGGUGGAUACUGUGGGGCUAGAGUACGGAAGAGGCGAGUGGAAUUCCUGGUGUAGCGGUGGAAUGCGCAGAUAUCAGGAAGAACACCAAUGGCGAAGGCAGCUCUCUGGGACGGUACUGACGCUGAGACGCGAAAGCGUGGGGAGCGAACAGG
rnacentral:rRNA from 1 species